rnacentral:lncRNA from 1 species
AUGUCUCCUCUCUGUCUACUGUCCCAGUGCUCCCCAUGUCUCUCUCUGUCUCUUGUCUCAGUGCUCCCAUGUCUCUCUCUGUCCUCCUCUGUCUCGUUGCCUCAGUGUCCCCAGUCUCUCCCCUGUCUCUCUCUGUCUCUACUGUCUCAGUGCUCCCAUGUCUCUCUCUGUCACGUGCUCAGUGCUCCCAUGCUCCUCUCUCUUGUCUCUCCAGUGCUCCCAUGUCUCUCUCUUCUUGUCUCUCUUGUCUCUUGUCUCAGUGCUCCCAUGUCUCUCCCUGUCUCUCUCUGUCUACUGUCUCAGUGCUCCCAUGUCUCUCUCUUCUCUACUGUCUCAGUGCUCCCAUGUCUCUCUCUGUCUCUUGUCUCAGUGCUCCCAUGUCUCUCUCUGGUCUCUUGUCUCAGUGCUCCCAUGUCUCUCCUGUCUCUCUGUCUCUUGUCUCGGCUCCUUCUCGCUCCCUGUCUCUCUGCUGCUACUGUCUCAGUGCUCCCAUGUCUCUCUCUCUUGUCACUGUCUCAGUGCUCUCUCCAUUGUCUCUCUUGCCUCUCUGUCUACUGUCUCAGUGCUCCCAUGUCUCUGCCUCUGGUCUACUGUCUCAGUGCUCCCCAGGUCUCUCCCUGUCUACUACUGUCUCAGUGCUCCAUGUCUCUCCCUGUCUCUCUCUGUCUACUGUCUCAGUGCUCCCAUGUCUCUCCGUCUCUCUGUCUACUGUCUCAGUGCUCCCAUGUCUCCUCCCUGUCUCUCUCUGUCUACUGUCUCUGCUCCCUGUCUCUCUCUGUCUACUGUCUCAUGCUCCCAUGUCUCUCUCUCUCCCAUCCUAAGUGUGUUUCUCUCUCUGUACUCUCUCCUGUCUCGUCCAGUGCUUCCCUGUCUCUCUCUGUCUACUGUCUCAGUGCUCCCAUGUCUCUCUCUCUCCUCCUAUCUAAGUGUGUUUUCUCUCUGCUCUCUCGUCUACUGUCUCAGUGCUCCCAUGUCCGUUCCCUCUCCUCCUAUCUAAGUGUGUUUCUCUCUCUGUCUCUCUCUGUCUACUGUCUCAGUGCUCCCUGGCGUGUCAUAAGAAGUGUCUGGAGACUCUGGCCAUCCAGUGUGGUCAUAAGAAACUGCAGGGAAGACUACAGCUGUUUGGGAUAG